ACACACACACACACACACACAGAGAGGAGAUCUGUGGGUUGGUGGUCUCUAUUCGCUUCCAGGUACGUACACACACACACACACACACAGAGAGGAGAUCUGUGGAGUGGUGGUCUCUAUUCGCUUCCAGGUACGUACACACACACACACACAGAGAGGAGAUCUGUGGAGUGGUGGUCUCUAUUCGCUUCCAGGUACGUACACACACACACACACACACAGAGAGAGGAGAUCUGUGGGGUGGUGGUCUCUAUUCGCUUCCAGGUACGUACGUACACACACACACACACACACACACACACACACACACAGAGAGAGGAGAUCUGUGGGGUGGUGGUCUCUAUUCGCUUCCAGGUAUGUACACACACACCACACACACGUGUGGUUUGGCGCAUGGCCGCUUGGUGCAAUACAGCUCAAUCUACCACAUUCCUGGCUAUUGGUUGUCACUAGUUACCACAGCCACAAAACCUAACUAUUUUUACAAUUUCUAUUCUUAAAAUAUGGUUUUAAACCUUAACCCUAACAUCGAUGGGGCUGUAGUGGAGCUGGUCGAGAGUUUCAAGUUCGUUGGUGAUGUGGACACCAUCAUCAAAUCAAAUGUAUUAAUAUAGCCCUUCGUACAUCAGCUGAUAUCUCAAAGUGCUGUACAGAAACCCAGCCUAAAACCCCAAACAGCAAGCAAUGCAGGUGUAGAAGCACGUUGGCCAGGAAAAACUCCCUAGAAAGGCCAAAACCUAGGAACAAACCUAGAGAGGAACCAGGCUCUGAGGGGGGGGGGCAGUCCUCUUCUGGCUGUGCCAGGUGGAGAUUAUAACAGAACAUGGCCAAGAUGUUCAAAUGUUCAUAAAUGACCAGCAUGGUCAAAUAAUAGGUCUGGGACAGGUAGCACGCCCGGUGAACAGGUCAGGGUUCAGCAGGUCUGGGACAGGUAGCACGCCCGGUGAACAGGCCAGGGUUCCAUAGCUGCAGGCAGAACAGUUGAAACUGGAGCAGCAAGGAGUCAUGCCAGGUAGUCCUGAGGCAUGGUCCUAGGGCUCAGGUCCUCCGAGAGAGAGAGUGAAUUAGAUAUAACAAACUGACCCUAGCCCCCCGACACAUAAACUACUGCAGUAUAAAUACUGGAGGCUGAGACGGGAGGGGUCAGGAGACACUGUGGCCCCAUCCGAUGAUACCCCCGGACAGUGCCAAACAGGAAGGAUAUAACCCCACCCACUUUGCCAAAGCACAGCCCCCACACCACUAGAGGGAUAUCUUCAACCACCAACUUACCAUCCUGAGACAAGGCUGAGUAUAGCCCACAAAGUUCUCCGCCAUGGCACAACCCAAGGGGGGGCACAUCCCAGACAGGAAGAUCACAUCAGUGACUCAACCCACUCAAGAGACGCACCCCUCCUAGGGAUGGCAUGAAAGAGCACCAGAAAGCCAGUGACUCAGCCCCUGUAACAGGGUUAGAGGCAGAGAAUCCCAGUGGAAAGAGGGGAACCGGCCAGGCAGAGACAGCAAGGGCGGUUCGUUGCUGCAGAGCCUUUCCGUCAUGGUCCAAACAUACCAAGAAAUUGGUGAAGAGGGCACAACAAAACCUUUUCCCCCUCAGGAGACUGAAAAGAUUUGGCAUGGGUCUCCAGAUCCUCAAAAAUGUCUACAGCUGCAACAUCGAUAGCAUCCUGACUAGUUGCAUCACUGUCUGGUAUGGUAACUGCUCAGCAUCUGACCAUAAGGCACUACAGAGGGUAGUGUGUACGGCCCAGUACAUCAUUGGUGCCAAGCUUCCUGCCAUCCAGGACCUAUAUAAUAGGCGGUGUCUAAGGAAAGCCCAUAAAAUUGUCAGACUCAUCAAGUCAUAGACUGUUCUCCCUGCUACCACACGGCAAGCAGUACCGGAGCACCAAGUCUGGGUCCAAAAGGCUUCCCUGAUCAUUUUCGUCUGCAACCACUGAAAAGCAUAGCGCAACAGUCAAAUAAUAUUACUAGAAAAUAUUCAUAUUCAUGAAUUCACUAUGCAAUAUUUUGAAACACAGCUUAGCCUUUUGUUAAUCACCUUGUUGUCUCAGAUUUUGAAAUGAUGCUUUACAGCCAAAGCAAUCCAAGCGUUUGUGUAAAUUUAUCGAUAGCCUAGCAUAGCAUUAUGUCCAGCUAGCAGCAGGAAGCUUGGUCACGAAAA